CGUUCGAUCUAAUCCGGUCGGACCGGUGAAACGCUGGACGUAACCGGGAACCUUUUUAACCGGCCGCGAUUGAGCGUCACAAUUCCUACUCCGUCACCGUCUGAUAAAAACCGAAAUCCUAAGUUUCUCUCUUCAUUGUUCUCGCCGGGGCCGGUAAAUCGGAUUUCGGGACGACGAAGACUUGAUUGGUGUUUGUUCAUCUUCUUCAGGAACCCUAGGAAUUUACUUCUGAGAUAGAUUUUCGUAUCUGGAGCCGUUAUACAUUUAUAUAUUUAGCUAAAAGAAAUUCCAGGCAGAGUGCGCACUUGCAGUCGGUUUGUUGUCGGGUUCUGGAGGUGAUUUCUGUGUAGCUGUAGCAAACAAGAUGGUGAGAUUGUUCUUGUCUGAACCCAAAUGGGAUAAAGCUCACAAAAGUGGUGUCAUUGAUAGGGUAACGCCUCUUUUGAACGAAUUGGGUUCUCUAAUCCGAUCAUUGGUGGCUCAUGGAGGCAGAUCAGAAGCUAGAUUAUGGCUUUGUAGUACCUUAUCAGGUGCUUCUAUGGCUCGGAAACAGCAGCGCAAGAUUUUCAUGAGCUUAUUGAGAUCAAAGCCAAGAAAAAUGCAGUUAGUAUCUCGACUCCUUCAGAUGAUAAUCGAGAAGAAGCCACGGAAACUCGGGGCUGUGUUAGCCAAGAGAAGUCACAUACUCGAGAAAUUCUUCCAAGGGAAUCCAAAGCGAAUUCUACGAUGGUUUUCUGAUUUUGCUACCGACGGUGGUUCUGAUCACAAAAGAGGUGCCAAAGGAUUGGCUCAGUUUGCGUUUACGAAUCGUGAUAUUUGUUGGGAAGAGCUUGAAUGGCGUGGAAAACACGGGCAAUCACCUGCGGUGGUUGCCACAAAGCCUCAUUACCUUCUCGACCUGAAUGUCCAAAAAACCGUUGAAAAUUUCCUCGAUAACGUUCCUGAAUUCUGGUCUUCCAAUGAGUUUGCCGAGACACUCAGAGAUGGUCAGAUCUUAUUCCUCGAUACCGAUUUUUUUCUGGAUCUUUUUGUCCGUUUUAUGUACGAAGAAGAUGUGGAAGAUGUUUGGCAUGCUGUGGAUGAUUUUCUUAUGGAGGAAUCAUUCUCCUCUUUAACACAGCAUCUCCUCAUCACUCUUGAAGAAGGCGGCCUAUGUCACUUCCUCGAGUUGCUUCAGGAAUAUGUCGACCCUACACUGGAACCGUUGGAUUUUGAUGAUUCUUCCUUCUGGGUUCGUGUUGUUCUCGCCGAAUAUGGCGGUAGGGAAUCUAUUGACGAGGUGCUUCUGUUGAAUUGUGUGAUCAAUCAAGGUAGACAGCUUCUACGGCUUGUGCGGGAUGAGAACAUUAACGAUGACCAAGACAGGAUGAAAGAAAUCGUGACAGAUAUUUGUCGGGUCUUGGACAAUACCGGUAGUUUUUCUCUAGCUCUGAAAGAGUUUUCAGAGAUGAAAAGCAUCGAGGCCAUUAAGUUACUCGGGCUACUUUCUUGGAUUGUUCACUUCAGAUUAUCAGAUGAAUGUCAGACUCCAGAUUCUUGGGAAUCUUUGUUUAGGGAGAACGGCAUUGAGUUCCGUAGAUCCAGUGACCACUCAAUGGUUAGUCCUAAUGGAUUCUCGGGAGAAACCGAGUCUGACUCGGAUGAUAAAAGCCGUGGUGCUAAAACGAGGCACAAGAAGGAGAAAAGCAAAAGGAGAAAGAAGAAGAGAAGAACCGAUGAUCUUGAUCUCAGUGAUGACGAGCUUCUUCUAGGUUUGCAUCAGAGAAGUCGAAGUUGGUUGCUAUCCACAGAUGAGUUUUCUACUACAUGGACCAACGUUGAUUUGCCGGGAUACAUAUCAAGGUAUUGUUUGUGCAGAUGGAUCAAGUGGCUUGCGGCCAGACAGCAAUGAGCAAUAGGUUCUCGAGCAUUAAAAUCUGUGACAAGCUGAUACAAUUUACGUAGAUACCAAAAGAUGUGAGCACUGAUGUUACGUUACGAUCCCGAAACCUGGAAAUGGUCAUCUAGCUUCCCUGAUGGUGCCAAAGUCAGGCACGAUAGCAAACACGGGGAAGGUUUCAUUAAGCAGAAGCAGAAGGUCGACCGAGGAGAUAAUAUAGAAACGCUCAUGAGUCUUUCAGGUCAGAGAAGUUUUGUAUUAAAUAUGAACUGAGAUUCUGUUCAGAACAG